rnacentral:rRNA from 1 species
AGACAGCAGCAGCCACGGGAAUACGGAGGGUGCAAGCGUUAAUCGGAAUUACUGGGCGUAAAGCGCACGCAGGCGGUCUGACAAGUCAGAUGUGAAAUCCCCGGGCUUAACCUGGGAACUGCAUUUGAAACUGUCAGGCUGGAGUCUUGUAGAGGGGGGUGGAAUUCCAGGUGUAGCGGUGAAAUGCGUAGAGAUCUGGAGGAAUACCGGUGGCGAAGGCGGCCCCCUGGACAAAGACUGACGCUCAGGUGCGAAAGCGUGGGGAGCAAACAGGAUUAGAUACCCGGGUAGUCCCUGUCUCUUAUAC